CAAAACUCSUAACGGUGGAUGKCUUGGCUCCCACAUCGAUGAAGAACGCNCCAAAAUGCGAAACGUAAUGCGAAUUGCAGAAUCCGUGAAUCAUCAAAUCUUUGAACGCAAGUUGCGCUCGCGGGUAAUCCUGCGAGCAUGUCUGUUUGAGUGUCC
rnacentral:rRNA from 1 species